rnacentral:rRNA from 1 species
CUAUAAUGCAAGUUGAGCGCUGAAGGUUGGUACUUGUACCGACUGGAUGAGCAGCGAACGGGUGAGUAACGCGUGGGGAAUCUGCCUUUGAGCGGGGGACAACAUUUGGAAACGAAUGCUAAUACCGCAUAAAAACUUUAAACACAAGUUUUAAGUUUGAAAGAUGCAAUUGCAUCACUCAAAGAUGAUCCCGCGUUGUAUUAGCUAGUUGGUGAGGUAAAGGCUCACCAAGGCGAUGAUACAUAGCCGACCUGAGAGGGUGAUCGGCCACAUUGGGACUGAGACACGGCCCAAACUCCUACGGGAGGCAGCAGUAGGGAAUCUUCGGCAAUGGACGAAAGUCUGACCGAGCAACGCCGCGUGAGUGAAGAAGGUUUUCGGAUCGUAAAACUCUGUUGGUAGAGAAGAACGUUGGUGAGAGUGGAAAGCUCAUCAAGUGACGGUAACUACCCAGAAAGGGACGGCUAACUACGUGCCAGCAGCCGCGGUAAUACGUAGGUCCCGAGCGUUGUCCGGAUUUAUUGGGCGUAAAGCGAGCGCCGGUGGUUUAUUUAAGUCUGGUGUAAAAGGCAGUGGCUCAACCAAUUGUAUGCGUUGGAGAUUGGUACACUUGAUUGCAGGAUAAGAAAAGAGUCAUUACCCG